UACGAAGGGUGCAAGCGUUACUCGGAAUUACUGGGCGUAAAGCGUGCGUAGGUGGUUCGUUAAGUCUGAUGUGAAAGCCCUGGGCUCAACCUGGGAAUGGCAUUGGAUACUGGCGACCUAGAGUGCGGUAGAGGGGUGUGGAAUUCCCGGUGUAGCAGUGAAAUGCGUAGAUAUCGGGAGGAACAUCUGUGGCGAAGGCGACACCCUGGACCAGCAUUGACGCUGAGGCGCGAAAGCUAGGGGAGCAAACGGG
rnacentral:rRNA from 1 species